GAUGAACGCUGGCGGCGUGCCUAAUACAUGCAAGUCGAGCGAAUGGAUUAAGAGCUUGCUCUUAUGAAGUUAGCGGCGGAUGGGUGAGUAACACGUGGGUAACCUGCCCAUAAGACUGGGAUAACUCCGGGAAACCGGGGCUAAUACCGGAUAACAUUUUGAACCGCAUGGUUCGAAAUUGAAAGGCGGCUUCGGCUGUCACUUAUGGCUGGACCCGCGUCGCAUUAGCUAGUUGGUGAGGUAACGGCUCACCAAGGCAACGAUGCGUAGCCGACCUGGGAGGGUGAUCGGCCACACUGAGAGUGAGACACGGCCCAGACUCCUACGGGAGGCAGCAGUAGGGAAUCUUCCGCAAUGGACGAAAGUCUGACGGAGCAACGCCGCGUGAGUGAUGAAGGCUUUCGGGUCGUAAAACUCUGUUGUUAGGGAAGAACAAGUGCUAGUUGAAUAAGCUGGCACCUUGACGGUACCUAACCAGAAAGCCACGGCUAACUACGUGCCAGCCGCCGCAGUAA
rnacentral:rRNA from 1 species